UACGGAAGGCAGCAGUGGGGAAUAUUGCACAAUGGGCGCAAGCCUGAUGCAGCCAUGCCGCGUGUAUGAAGAAGGCCUUCGGGUUGUAAAGUACUUUCAGUCGUGAGGAAGGUGUUAAGGUUAAUAACCUUAGCAAUUGACGUUAGCGACAGAAGAAGCACCGGCUAACUCCGUGCCAGCAGCCGCGGUAAUACGGAGGGUGCGAGCGUUAAUCGGAAUUACUGGGCGUAAAGGGCACGCAGGCGGUUAAUUAAGUUGGAUGUGAAAUCCCCGGGCUUAACCUGGGAAUGGCAUUCAAGACUGGUUAGCUAGAGUCUUGUAGAGGGGGUAGAAUUCCAUGUGUAGCGGUGAAAUGCGUAGAGAUGUGGAGGAAUACCGGUGGCGAAGGCGGCCCCUGGACAAAGGCUGACGCUCAUGUGCGAAAGCGUGGGGAGCGAAACAGGGAU
rnacentral:rRNA from 1 species